GGGGCUUCGGCUCUCGCUAUUGGAUGGGCCUGCGUGAGAUUAGCUAGUUGGUGAGGUAAUGGCUCACCAAGGCGACGAUCUCUAGCUGGUCUGAGAGGAUGAUCAGCCACACUGGGACUGAGACACGGCCCAGACUCCUACGGGAGGCAGCAGUGGGUAAGUAUUGCACAAUGGGCGCAAGCCUGAUGCAGCCAUGCCGCGUGUGUGAAGAAGGCUUUCGGGUUGUAAAGCACUUUCAGUGGGGAGGAAGGCCUCGUAGUUAAUAGCUGCGAGGAUUGACGUUACCCACAGAAGAAGCACCGGCUAACUCCGUG
rnacentral:rRNA from 1 species